rnacentral:lncRNA from 10 species
CUUCGGCCGAGCUGCCCGCGCGUCCUUUCUCCGUGCGCGUCGUCAGGCGUGUCCUCUCCGCGUGUCCACCCACAGGCCGCCCGCAGACCACCCCCGCCGCGCGCGGGACACGACGCCCCCCGCAGGACCCGCCCAUCAGCCCGGAAACCCCUGAGCUGCUUCUCCCGGAGGCCGAUGCCCACCCGGGAGCCCCCAAAGACUCGCGGCUCCCGGGGGCACCUGCAUACUCACCCGCCUGGGCCUGGGCCCCCGGUGAGCCUGACCGGGAGGGGGUCCCCAGGCCGGGCCUCUAGGCAAAAGAUUUAGCCCCUCCAGUUUGAGGGACUCCGGUUUCCCGACACCCCGAUUUAACUCCAGACCACGAUUCCUGUGGCAGCUGCAGGGACUGGCGCCCCGAGGCCUCAAAACCAGCGCCCCCCGCCCUCCGUGCCAGCCCCAGCCGGGACCCCACAAGGCAAAGACCAAGAAGAUUGUGUUUGAGGAUGAGUUGCUCUCCCAGGCCCUCCUGGGCGCCAAGAAGCCUAUUGGAGCCAUCCCUAAGGGGCAUAAGCCUAGGCCCCACCCAGUGCCCGACUAUGAGCUAAGGAGGCCCAAGUUGCAGCCCGGGUUUGGAGGGAGUUUGAGAUGAAGCGAAUGGAUCCUGGCUUCCUGGACAAGCAGGCUCGCUGCCACUACCUGAAGGGUAAACUGAGGCAUCUCAAGACUCAGAUCCAGAAAUUCGAUGACCAAGGAGACAGCGAGGGCUCCGUGUACUUCUAAGUGCCCCUGCAGAUGGGCAGAGGGAUGCAUGGGGAUGCAGGUCCCUUGCAUUUCUUGGUAUCUCUCAGCUUUUCCUCUUGCAGCUCCCCCUACCAGGGGUCGCUUUCUCCUGGAUUGCAAAUGCCUCUUCAGUUUGGACUCAGCUCUGACAGCCCCUCCUCCAGGAAGGCCUUCCAGGACUUCCUCCUCUGGGUCCUCUAGCUCUGACCCUACAGGGACUCCAGAUCUCAACCUGUUCCCUGGAAGUAGGGCCUGCUCUCCAUCCCAGUGAAAUAAACAUGUAUUAGACACC